AUGCUGCUGGAGGACAACAUCAUCACUUUUGUGAAGAACGAGCUGAAGAAGAUCCAGAAGGUUCUGAGUCCAGAUUACCCAGAAUGCUUAGAGAGUCAGAGGAGCAGCAGCAGAGAGGCAUUUGUGAAGAUCACAGUGGACUUCCUGAGGAGAAUGAAGCAGGAGGAGCUGGCUGACCGUCUGCAGAGCAGUAAGAGGAUUUUUGUAAAAAGAUUUAACCUUCUGUGUCACGGCACUUGGUCUUCGACCCAGUCUUUCUAUCUUUCUGGACUUUACUGGGUUAUUGAAAUAUGCUAUGAGGCUAGUUUCAUGGUUAUGUUUACAUCAUGUAUAACGUAUGCAACCGCUGAAUCUUUUAUUAAACAAAUAUUGAACAAGUUCUCACAAUCACCUCUGUACAAUGGAAUAUAAUGUUUAAAUGAUUUGCCUGUGUAUAUUAAACCAUAACAGGACAUUUCACAUAUCUGUAGUAACAAAAUAACAGCCGGUCUAAAAAACUUCUUUCUGAAAACACUGCAUGUCUUUAAUGUGCUGCUUGCUUGUGACUUCUUGAUGUUGGUAAAUACAAUAAAUGAAAAAUACAUGUACAACACAUUAUGCUUCUGCUGUGAGGUCCUGCUAUUAAUCACUGGACAGCUGGACAGUUAUGUUUACAAAUAUUAUUGUAUUGCAUUUUGUGGAGUCAACAUUUGUUAGCAAGUACACCAGUAUGAUUACAAUAGCGCCAUGCACUUUCCUGAUGGGCCGUGUUCUCAGAAAGAAAUUUUCAGACCGGCUUUUUUUGUUGUUGUUGUUAUUACUGAUACAUGAUAUUCCAUCGGAAAGAGAUGAUUGUGAGAACUUGUUCAUUAUUUGUUCAAUAAACAAUUCAGCUGUUAAACUUUUCUGUUUGUAUUUCGUGGAAUCAACAUUUGUGUGUGAGUACACAAAAAACAAACUCACAACUGUACAAUGUACAGUGUAACUGUUACAGCCUCACUUUUUUUCACUAAUUGAAAAUAUUUUAAUCACAAUAAUACAACCUGAUGUGUAAAUAUUGGGAUGACCACUAGAUGGCUUCAGAUCUCCAUAAAAUAAAAAUCAGCAGAAACAUGAGACGUGCUCGUUUCUACACAAAUAAAUAAAACAAAGCAUUUUAAUUACGACAUGAAAAAGAAAAUACUCUAAAGUAGGUAUUAACGCUUAUUACGCUGACCUAUUAUUGCUCUUGUAUAUUACAGAUUAGUAUGAAGCAACUAUGAAAGGAGAGUUUUUACUGAGACCAUAAAACUACAUCUCCCUGAUGAUGACGACCAUGACGACGAUGUUAAAGAUGAUGACGACCAUGACGACGAUGAUAAAGAUGAUGACGACCAUGACGACGAUGAUAAAGAUGAUGACGAGUGCUUCACCAGAUCUCAAACUGCGUGUGUUCCUUGAAAGCUGCUCUGUGCACGCUGUUGUUGCUGAAGAGUCUAGAAAGAAACCAAAGCAGAGAGCAGACGUCAUUCACCCAGAACAACAUGAAUCCACGUGAGCUCAGGCUGUGAAUGAUUCCUCUGAGAGUCUGAGCAGAAACUCCUUCAUGUUGGCUCACCGCACAGAGUGGAUGGAGGGGUUGAUGGAGAGCAGCUGCAGUAACACAUCAGUCGAAGCAUCAGUGAACUGAUUGUGACUCAGACUGUAACACAAACACAACAAGUGUCUCUAACUGAUCGCUGCACAUUAUAUUACUGUAGUGUGUGUGAACAGGCUGAUGGGUAUUGGUGCUUCCCAGAGAAGGAUCAGUGUGUGACACUCACUCC
rnacentral:lncRNA from 1 species